rnacentral:rRNA from 1 species
GUUGGGUAGGGGAGCGUUCUGUAAGCCUGUGAAGGUGGCCUGUGAGGGUUGCUGGAGGUAUCAGAAGUGCGAAUGCUGACAUAAGUAACGAUAAAGCGGGUGAAAAGCCCGCUCGCCGGAAGACCAAGGGUUCCUGUCCAACGUUAAUCGGGGCAGGGUGAGUCGACCCCUAAGGCGAGGCCGAAAGGCGUAGUCGAUGGGAAACGGGUUAAUAUUCCCGUACUUGGUGUUACUGCGAAGGGGGGACGGAGAAGGCUAUGUUGGCCGGGCGACGGUUGUCCCGGUUUAAGCGUGUAGGUGUGUGUUCCAGGUAAAUCCGGUUCACUUUAACACUGAGGCGUGACGACGAGGCACUACGGUGCUGAAGCAACAAAUGCCCUGCUUCCAGGAAAAGCCUCUAAGCAUCAGGUAACAUCAAAUCGUACCCCAAACCGACACAGGUGGUCAGGUAGAGAAUACCAAGGCGCUUGAGAGAACUCGGGUGAAGGAACUAGGCAAAAUGGUGCCGUAACUUCGGGAGAAGGCACGCUGACAUGUAGGUGAAGUGAUUUACUCAUGGAGCUGAAGUCAGUCGAAGAUACCAGCUGGCUGCAACUGUUUAUUAAAAACACAGCACUGUGCAAACACGAAAGUGGACGUAUACGGUGUGACGCCUGCCCGGUGCCGGAAGGUUAAUUGAUGGGGUCAGCGCAAGCGAAGCUCCUGAUCGAAGCCCCGGUAAACGGCGGCCGUAACUAUAACGGUCCUAAGGUAGCGAAAUUCCUUGUCGGGUAAGUUCCGACCUGCACGAAUGGCGUAAUGAUGGCCAGGCUGUCUCCACCCGAGACUCAGUGAAAUUGAACUCGCUGUGAAGAUGCAGUGUACCCGCGGCAAGACGGAAAGACCCCGUGAACCUUUACUAUAGCUUGACACUGAACAUUGAGCCUUGAUGUGUAGGAUAGGUGGGAGGCUUUGAAGUGUGGACGCCAGUCUGCAUGGAGCCGACCUUGAAAUACCACCCUUUAAUGUUUGAUGUUCUAACGUGGACCCGUGAUCCGGGUUGCGGACAGUGUCUGGUGGGUAGUUUGACUGGGGCGGUCUCCUCCUAAAGAGUAACGGAGGAGCACGAAGGUUGGCUAAUCCUGGUCGGACAUCAGGAGGUUAGUGCAAUGGCAUAAGCCAGCUUGACUGCGAGCGUGACGGCGCGAGCAGGUGCGAAAGCAGGUCAUAGUGAUCCGGUGGUUCUGAAUGGAAGGGCCAUCGCUCAACGGAUAAAAGGUACUCCGGGGAUAACAGGCUGAUACCGCCCAAGAGUUCAUAUCGACGGCGGUGUUUGGCACCUCGAUGUCGGCUCAUCACAUCCUGGGGCUGAAGUAGGUCCCAAGGGUAUGGCUGUUCGCCAUUUAAAGUGGUACGCGAGCUGGGUUUAGAACGUCGUGAGACAGUUCGGUCCCUAUCUGCCGUGGGCGCUGGAGAACUGAGGGGGGCUGCUCCUAGUACGAGAGGACCGGAGUGGACGCAUCACUGGUGUUCGGGUUGUCAUGCCAAUGGCACUGCCCGGUAGCUAAAUGCGGAAGAGAUAAGUGCUGAAAGCAUCUAAGCACGAAACUUGCCCCGAGAUGAGUUCUCCCUGAGACUUAAAGUCUCCUGAAGGAACGUUGAAGACGACGACGUUGAUAGGCCGGGUGUGUAAGCGCAGCGAUGCGUUGAGCUAACCGGUACUAAUGAACCGUGAGGCUUAACCUUACAACGCCGAAG